AGUGAACGCUGGCGGUAGGCCUAACACAUGCAAGUCGAACGGCAGCACAGUAAGAGCUUGCUCUUACGGGUGGCGAGUGGCGGACGGGUGAGGAAUACAUCGGAAUCUACUUUUUCGUGGGGGAUAACGUAGGGAAACUUACGCUAAUACCGCAUACGACCUACGGGUGAAAGCAGGGGAUCUUCGGACCUUGCGCGAUUGAAUGAGCCGAUGUCGGAUUAGCUAGUUGGCGGGGUAAAGGCCCACCAAGGCGACGAUCCGUAGCUGGUCUGAGAGGAUGAUCAGCCACACUGGAACUGAGACACGGUCCCGACUCCUACGGGGGGCAGCAGUGGGGAAUAUUGGACAAUGGGCGCAAGCCUGAUCCAGCCAUACCGCGUGGGUGAAGAAGGCCUUCGGGUUGUAAAGCCCUUUUGUUGGGAAAGAAAAGCAGCAGGUUAAUACCCCGCUGUUCUGACGGUACCCAAAGAAUAAGCACCGGCUAACUUCGUG
rnacentral:rRNA from 1 species